AUUUCUCAUCUAUAAAAAGCAACCAAAUGCCAAAUAAACCUCGGCGAAAAUUACCCCACUAAACAUCGCUAACUUGUUGCAUUGUCAAAGGCAGUGAGGCAAAAAAGAAACAAUGACUGAAGACAGGGAGGGAAAUACGCAUCUACGAGAAUUAAUAAUCUGUUUCGAAAA